rnacentral:rRNA from 1 species
UACAGAGGGUGCAAGCGUUGUUCGGAUUCACUGGGCGUAAAGGGUGCGUAGGUGGUUAGGUAAGUCCGAUGUGAGAUCUCCAGGCUCAACCUGGGAAUGGCAUUGGAUACUAUCUAGCUUGAGGAGUGGAGGGGGGACUGGAAUUCUCGGUGUAGCAGUGAAAUGCGUAGAUAUCGAGAGGAACACCAGUGGCGAAGGCGAGUCCCUGGACACUUCCUGACACUGAGGCACGAAGGCUAGGGGAGCAAACGGG